AAAAUGGAAAAAAAACAGUUCUGUUGUUUAUUCGAGAAACUUUUGUCCGAAAAACGAGAAGAUAAUUAAUUAAUUUUAUUUAUCAAAUGACUAACGCUUAUAAAUAAAUAAUUAAUUGAAAGGUAGUUAUAAAUCUUGUCGAUUUAAAAAAUUCGAAAUUAUUAAUAUCGGAGGAGUAGAGAAACUUAAAUAAUCAGUCGAAAAAGGUGGGACAAAUUUACUUUAGGUUUUUUUACUAAAUAGUUUUCACCUUCUAACCACUAGAAUAUUUGGAUGCCAUUAAUUGCAUAUGCUAUAAUAAUAAUAUAUUAUAAAAAACCUGCUUUGUUAAUUAUAUAAUAACUUUAUUUUAGAUUUAAAAAAACACUAAAAUCAAUAUUUGUCCGUA